rnacentral:rRNA from 1 species
UACAGAGGUGCCAAGCGUUAGGCGGAAUCAUUGGGCGUAAAGAGCGUGUAGGCGGCUUGUUAAGUCUUGCGUGAAAUCUCGGGGCUCAACCCCGAGCGGUCGUGAGAAACUGGCAGGCUAGAGUGCGGGAGAGGAGAGUGGAAUUCCUGGUGUAGCGGUGAAAUGCGCAGAUAUCAGGAAGAACACCCGUGGCGAAGGCGGCUCUCUGGAACGCAACUGACGCUGAGACGCGAAAGCGUGGGGAGCAAACAGG